rnacentral:tmRNA from 1 species
GGGGACGCACUAGAUUCGACAGUAUGAUGCUCUUUAACACUGCAGGCCGACCGUUGAAAGGUGGUCGUAAAAUAACUUUCAAAAACUAAAUGCUGAUGCGCAAGCAGAAGCUGCUUUUUAUGCGCGAGCUCCGAGAGCAUAUCUCUACGCAAACGCGUAAAAUGGCCAUCACUUAAAGAUUUUCUCGAUGAUCUUUUUGAGGUGUAAACUUAGUCGAGGUGCAACCAUCGGGGUUCGACGUUCCUCUAUGGCCAAGCUCAAUACGUCUUGAUUUCCUCUUUCCUGUCAGUCGGUUACAGAGGAAAUGACCACUAUUGAUUGACUACGCCUGUAGAUGUGUUAUUUGCAUCUUGCUGGACGAGAGCUCAUUACUCUCCGUCUCCACUA